UGUUAGAGCACUCUCCAUCUACAUUGAGAGGACAAGCCUUUUCCGCAAAUCUUCCAGACUGUUUGUUUUACCUUGGGGCCGUAGAAAAGGUGAAGCAGCUUCUACUUCUACUCUGAGACAGUGGAUAGUAACGUCUAUCUCCAAGGCUUAUCGUUGCCAGGAUACGCCUCUACCUGUAGGUAUCAAGGCUCAUUCUACCCGAGCAGUAUCUGCCUCUUGGACUUCUGUGGCAAAGGUAUCUCCAGACAGUAUUUGCAGAGCUGGUACAUGGUCUUCUGUUAACACCUUCAUCAGGCAUUAUCAGUUGGACGUUCGAUGCACUAAUGAUACUCACUUUGGACGUCAAGUCCUCAAUUCAGU